GUUUUUCUCUCCCACUUCAUGGCUGUAGGGAGAGCAGGUGAGCCUCCACUGUCCUGAGCUGAACUGCCUGCCCUUUUCCUUACUGCCUACCCUACUGCCCAGCUGCAGACCUGGAAAUGGGCAACUGCUCUCUUGAGGAUGAGGACCAUCCCUGAGUACAUCCUCUGACAGUUCCUGGAAAACAGCAGCUAGGGGGCAGCCUCAGGUAGCGUCAGCCUGAGGCCUCCCUCCUUCACCAGCAAGGCAAGAGAACUUGUCCUCCGCAAGGAUCAGCACUGGGAUGAGGACCGAGCUUUCAGUGUUAAGUUCACAACUCCAUCCAUUUCAUGAGCUUUAAUCCACCAGUGACUUUGAUUUGACUUGGUGUGAUUGUGGCCAUCACAGGUUCUUCUACUCUAUUUGAAUGUCAGUUGUUACCAUGUCUGAUACUCUGGUCACACUGUACACAUACACGUCCACACACCACGCUCUACAGGAAGGCUAAGAAAGGGUUGCAGUGGCCAGGUUCCAAGAGACCUUAUGAAGAGCAGAGAGCAGAUGCAAAUACAGGAUGACCUAUCAGGUGGUCAGAGAACGGCUUAUCAACCCAGGAGCUGCCAAGGGGCAGCUGCCAAGCAGGUGGCUUUACUGGACAGCUUCAGGGUCAGCUGUGAGUGUCUGCUUACAGUGGGCCAUGCCUCAGAGGAGGAGCCAGGACAGGGGAGGGCUAUGUGGAAAUCCCCUCUGUUGGUUUGUCACUUUUCUGGUAUUUAUUUUGGCUGGGCACAAAAUAACCGAGCUGCCACGAGGCACUUGUAGGUUUAAAACAGGAACUCCUUUUUUCUCCAAACUCCCACCAACCGGAAAUCCCUCCUCUGGCACUUCCCCAACCAACGUGAACCCUCCAGGAAUCCCCGCAAGAACUCCAAAGCAGCGGGCGCCCCAUUGCCCGACAGUAAAGGUCAAAUAUACAAUACAAUCAAUCCAGCAUCACAGCAAUUAUAUAUAGCUUAACUCAAAUCAUCAUCUUAAUGGUUCGCUGGCGGUCACCUUUCAAACAUUCCCUCUGGCAAAUGCCAGGCGUCAUUCUAACUGGGCAGUGGCUCUCAACAAAAUUAGUUUAAGAUAAAGUUGAUGAAACUUAGGACAAGGUUUGUGUCUGCCGUUGGCAGGUGUGGUGACUGGAGGGGACUCAUGGGUUCUGAAAAGUGCCUUUGUUCCUGGAUGGACCAUCGGGUGCAUCUGGUAGUCAGUAAGCAUGAACCUUGUUCCUGCACAUCCCAUGCUUAUUGCAUUCCAUAAUAAAAAAGAGACUGAAAACUAUUAAUAAGGAGACUCUCUUUCUCAGGAGUCCUGUG
rnacentral:lncRNA from 1 species